GGAAGGAAGGCAGGCAAGGAGGCAGACUGGCAAAGAGAGAGAGGGGAGAGAGGCAGGCCGUGAAUGCUAACGAGCCCCGUCGUAAUCGUCCACAGCUUCCCAAACAUGUUGUAAUGGAGAAGAAGAACGAGCACCAUUAAGCUAGCUACUAUGCACAAGCGCCUCGCAGCCGUCGGCACAUUUGAUUUGACAGGAAAAAACGCCAUUUUUUCUCGCUGAGUGAAAUGUGUCGCGACUGCUUGGGGACCACAUUGUGACAAUGGAGAUUGAAAAUAUCGUGGCCAACACGGUUCUCCUAAAGGCGAGAGAAGGUGGUGGAGGGAAGAGGAACGGUCGCAGUAAGAAAUGGAAAGAAAUGCUAAAACUGCCGCAUAUCAGCCAGUGUGAGGAGCUUCGGCGUACUAUUGACAGGGACUAUACCAGUCUGUGUGAGAAGCAGCCCAUUGGUCGGCUUCUAUUUCGUCAGUACUGUGACACCAGGCCAGAGCUGAAACGCUGCAUCGAAUUCAUGGACGCUGUGGCCAUGUACCAGCUCGCUCCAGAUGAGAAGCGGCGGGACUGCGGACUGAAUGUUUUAGACACUUACUUCAAUAAUGGGUCGGCAGCCCAUCUCCCAGACAUACCCCAAGAUGUGGUCGCUGGGUGCCGGGAGAGACUAGAGCAGAGUCCUUGUAAGGAGCUCUUCAAUGACUGCACCAAAAUAGUUCGUGAUUAUCUAAGUGGAGCUCCCUUUUCCUCCUACCAGGAGUCCAUGUACUUCUCUCGCUUCCUGCAGUGGAAAUGGUUGGAGAGGCAACCAGUAACCAAAAAUACCUUCAGACAUUAUAGAGUACUAGGAAAAGGUGGAUUUGGCGAGGUUUGUGCCUGCCAAGUACGCGCCACCGGUAAGAUGUACGCCUGUAAAAAGCUGGAAAAGAAACGAGUGAAGAAAAGAAAAGGUGAAGCAAUGGCACUAAACGAAAAACGAAUUUUAGAAAAAGUUAACAGUAGUUUUGUAGUUAGUUUAGCAUAUGCCUAUGAGACCAAGGAUGCGCUGUGCCUGGUGUUGACCAUAAUGAAUGGUGGUGACUUAAAAUUCCACAUCUACAACAUGGGCAACUCUGGCUUUGAUGAGCAGAGAGCCAUCUUUUACGCUGCUGAGAUCUGCUGUGGCCUUGAGGACUUGCACCGUGAGAGGAUAGUCUACAGAGAUUUAAAACCGGAAAACAUCCUUCUGGAUGAUCGUGGGCACAUCCGCAUUUCAGACUUGGGUCUGGCUGUGCAAAUUCCUGAAGCAGAGACGAUACGAGGGAGAGUAGGCACUGUUGGAUACAUGGCACCAGAGGUAAUCCAGAAUGAGAGUUACACCUUCAGUCCAGACUGGUGGGGUCUGGGCUGUCUCAUCUUUGAGAUGAUUCAAGGCCAGUCACCCUUUCGCAAACGCAAGGAACGAGUCAAGCGGGAGGAGGUGGACAGACGCGUGCGUGAGGAUCAGGAGGAGUACUCUGACAAGUUCUCUGAGGACGCCAAGGACAUCUGCAGACAGCUCCUGUCUAAAGAUCCAAAGAGUCGACUUGGUUGUCAGGGUCGUGGGGCAAUAGAGGUCAAGCAGCAUCCCAUCUUCAGGAACAUCAACUUCAAACGAUUGGAGGCAAACAUGCUGGAGCCUCCUUUCAGCCCAGAUCCCCGUGCCGUGUACUGCAAGGACGUCCUCGACAUCGAACAGUUCUCCACUGUCAAAGGUGUGAACCUUGACCCCACGGAUGAUGACUUCUACCACAAGUUUGUCACAGGGAGUGUCUCCAUCCCGUGGCAGAAUGAGAUGAUUGAAAUGGAGUGCUUCAAAGAAAUCAAUGUCUAUGAGACUGAUGGGACGCUAUGUCCAGACCUGGACAUGAACCGGCCUAACCCUCCACCAAAGAGAGGCUUCUUCUACCGCUUGUUCAGAAGAGAGGCAAGUGCUAGUGCUCCGGCGACUGUCCGAGGGGGUGGGGGCUAAGGUACUUCCUCUAUUCCUUCUACUCCUCCUUGGCCGUGUUCAACAUCAAUUACAUGUGGCUCCUGUCUCAUGCGAUUUUGUCUGCUUUAAGAGCGGUUACAGUGACGACGAGUUCGAGGAGCCCUCUCGACUUUAAACCACUCUCUCCACCCGCCGAAACAUCCCACCCCUGCCGCUGAUCUUUACCAUAAACUCCAGCCGAGUGCAAAUCUUAGGAACUCAGUGAAUGUUGACCUGUAUUUAUGAGCUGUACUAAAAGUGUAUUAUAAUUAAAGAAAAAAGUAUGAGUUUAAAGAUUUUGUACCUUUGUACUUGAAUUUAUGUCUAGAUGUAUAUUUUCACUAAAGGUUGUAUUGUACAAAAAGCCAUAAAAGUACCACUUGAAUGCAUAAAUUACAUUUUUAUUUGAUUGUCUUUGGGAUUGAGUAUGGAUAAUGUUUUUUUUUUGGGCAGUUUCUUUUUAAAGAAGCACAGUACCAGUUGUCUUUAUUUUUCUCAAUGUAGCAUAAUGCCUUUUUUUUUCUAUAUGUGCUGUAUGUUUAGCAUUUAUUUGGCCAAUGUGAGGUGUUUUUAAGCACAUCAGAUCCUCCUAAUCCCAAAUUAACGCACCGCGUCCUCAGCCCUCAAGGCUCAGGUAGAGCUGAAUGAAAUCUGUCACUAUACAAAUGGUAAUGCAAAUCAAAUAUGUUGAUUACUGAUUUGUUGCUUCCCAAAAUCCGCUCCUUCUUCUCUUGACUGGACAACGCAAAGUUGGUUAAGAUAUACGAUGAGCCAUGUAUUCACCUCUGACCAGACAGCGUGAUUUGGUAUUUGGCCAGCAUGUGUCUAGCGAAGGUGACAUCGAUUUACUUUUAACAAUCAGAAUGUCCAGCAUAAAUAACUUAUGCCCAAAACUUGUGAGCUCAAAAGCUAACGUUUAAUAAAGAUCAGAUGUCAGAUGUUGUUUCCCCUCUGGAGCACAACUCUUCAGUAACUGUAUUUUACAACGCCACUCGGGCAGAGCUAUUUUGGGGUAUUUUUUUUUCUUUAUUCUUUGCCCUCUGUCCUGCAGAUGUGUGCAGAAAUGGGGGAAAAUAUUUUUUAUAAUAUUUCUCUCCAAAUAUUCCAAUAUUUUGGAGGGCUAAGAGGGAGUUAGGCACCAUAUUGUGAAACAUCUGACCUGCAGCUAACAAAUUGUUUCAUCUUUGUAACACAUUGCUGUUGAAUGAAAUUAACCUCUAUCAAUCCGGUCAGUCGCUAUUAGCCACUGAGUUGAGAUUAGAGCCCGCUUUUGCCUUUGUGCAGUAGAUCAUGAAUAGUAUGGCUGUUGGCCACAUAUCCGUAGAUAAUAUGCAGCUAUAUUCUGUGACUGAAGCUGUGUUUAUGCUCGACAAAGAGAAAUAUGUUUGUUGUAAUAGUGCACAACUUUUAAUCUUCCAUGAAAAACAUACAGCAGUAUGUUGUUCACUCAUAGAAAGGUGCUGGCUUGUGUGUGGAUAAAGGGAGAAAUGCAGGAUUUCAACUCCUUCCAGUUCUAACAAAGGCUCUCAAAGGCGUUUGACGUUGUGGAGUUGUACGUUUCAGGUGGUCAGUGUAACUUCCGCCUUCUACCAUCACUUUUCAAUACUGUGAAUACUCCGUUUUAGACAGUGUGUGUACAUUAACUUGUAUGAAAAUGCAGUUCAUCAAAUUUGAUCUGAAUUCAUAGAACAUUUGAAGUUGAUUUUAUUACCACGUAUUUUCUCAGUUACCUUAAAAGUUGGGACUUGGGAAUCUUUAAUUCGUAAUUUCUCAAAUGCAGUUCAAAGGUGCAUAUAUAUGAAAGCGUGUGCAUAUAUUACUCCCUAUAGUUUUGUGUUUUCUUGCUCUAAAAAAAAAAAAAUGCUCCUGUUGCACAUUCCACUAUCACCAUACAAACACGUGCCAUGUAUCUGUUACUGGCUUGAGUCAUUUGUUUCUGUGUUGCUCUGAAGCUUACUCUCUUGCCUUUGUAGAUUUUAGGCUUUUUUUUUUUUUUUUUUAGUACUUCCAGCCUCAAAAACCUUGUACAUUUAAUAAUAAGCUGUAAAACACUGACAUACAUAGAGAAACUGAUGCCUGCUGCACCUAUUCACCUGCUAUGGUCAGUAAUAGGAGUACAACUCCAGCAUCCACUUAACAUAUUCAUUGCACUGGGAUGUGUUUCGCCAAUGACAAUAGGAAGUGUCUCCUUUCAAUGAUACCAAAAUCAAUAUUGAGUAAAAUGACAUGUAUUAUUUGGACAAUGAAAUGAGGAAAGACUGAUAGCCUUCAUUGUGUGUGCCAGUUGCAAAAAGACAUCACGCCUUUUUCAUCCUCUUCACCCUUCCAUCCAUUCCAAGAGAAAUCCUUCACACAACGGAACUUUAAACUGCUCAAAAGUUUUGAAUGUCCGCACUAAGUGCAUUGUAAUGCCUGUUUUAAAGAAAAACAUAUGGUUUAUUACACAAGCAUGUAUUGGUUUGUAAUACUUCAGGUUCCUUGUAUAUGUAAAUGAUGACCUUUUAGUGCCAACAUAUCUCUGGUAUAUGAGGACAGUUAAAAUGACCUGUAGACAUGGCCUCGUUUUAAUACGUGAAAGGCAUUCCUUCUCUCGGAUGGUGAGUCAACCCUUCCAAACUGGGAUAAGCCUCACCAGUAACACUUGAGGGAGAGAUCCUCAGUUCCUUGAUGUCGCUUGAGUGUCGUCAAUAUAAGCCUAGAGAAGCACUCAAGAGUUUCUCAUUCUGUCUAGAAUUAGUUUUAGUUAGUGUAAAGCUAUUUCAAGGAAUGCUCUACUGGUAUUCAAACAGGGCCUGACACCCACCCCCACCAACCCUUUCCUUUUUUGUACCUGUACAGUCAUGUUGUUCAACCACUGCAGUCAUUGUUAAAUUCUUGUACAAGUUGUAUCACUGGUUGUUGUACCAUAUCUUACAUUUGUAAUUAUGAAAAAAUACACUGCCAUUUGUAUAAAA